GGCUCGGUGGUCUAGGGUAUGAUUCUGACUUCGGGUGUGAGAGGUCCGGGUUUUAAAUCCCAUCCGAGCCC